GUGAUGGGAGCUUCAAACAGAUUUCUAAUCUUUACAGUCCUUCAGUACUUGUAUUUUAAGAAUGAAGGCAUAAUUUAUUGGGGAUGAAACCGAAUUGCUCAGCUCUCUGCUAAUAGGAUCCUCAGGGCAAAAAGGGUAGAGAAAGCAUCAUCAUAAAAAGCAGAAAGCUUCACAAUAUUUUAAAAUUUAAGCUAGAAACAAUAAAUUAAUAAUUAUGUUUGCCAUGAUUAUUGCCCAUUAAUGAUAAAUUGUUCUCAUUGAGUAAAUGGCACGAUGAACUCAAGUGGCCCAGAGGAUUAAUAAAAGACUGCUUAUAUUGGCCUAUGAAGCGUUGGUGAUUGUUCCUAUUUUGUUAAGAAAGCCAUCAAGCCUUUUGCAGGGACCCUCUUGUCCUUAAGCUUUUCUCUUCCUAGAUUCAAGUCAAUUGUGAAGAUCUUUCUGUGUUUGCUACAGAACUGUAGUGGAGUCCCCAUCUGGUAAAGUGAAACACUUUUUUUUUGUAGCCCAAUCAUGAAGAUUUAUUUUUCAAUCAGGCCACAUAAUCACAGAAAUGCUUAAACACCUUAUACUGUCAUUGUGGAGGGACGGAACAGCAUUCUACAAAAGAAUCAUCACUGAAGCAAUGGAGAGCCAUCUGCCUAAUUAGCCAGUGACGAAGAUCGCCUUUGAGAGAGAAUGUGUGUGCACACCAGCAGGGAAGGGAGAGAGAAAGAGGAAGAGAGAGAGAAUCCCAAGCAGGCUCAUGCUGUCAGCACAGAGCCCUACAUGGGGCUUGAUCUCACAAAUGGUGAGACCAUGACCAGAGCUGUAAUCAAGAGACAGACCCUCAACCUGUUGAGCCACCCAGGCACGUCUCCAAUAAAACAUGAUGUACAAAACUGAUGAUUUGAAACAGCAAUCUUGAGACUUGAGAGGAAGACAGAGUAAAUACUCUUCAUCUCAUUUUAAAGGUAGAAUAUGAAGUGUUUUGUUUAUGUACAAGUUUAUGUCUCAGCUUUGCUCUCUGAUCCUCGUUUGGACCCAGCCAUUGACACAGCUAUACAGAUGCUCUUGGGCAGACUCAAGGAAGGAUGCAGCAUACCGAACUCGUACCUGCAAGGAGUACAGAGCCUGGAUGUGAACAGUCUCUCAAAGACUGAAACACUGGUAUAAUUCCUCCUGCACUGUUCUGCAUCACUCAUUCCAUAAGCUUAAGAAGCUUUAAGAGAAACAUAUGCAAGAUAAUGCUUUUGAACUUUGCAAUUAUUCCUACUGGAGAUGGAGUGUACAACUUCUACUAUGACUUGCUUUAGCCAAUAAGGCAUGUGAUGUGCUUAUACUCCUUCCUGCCAUCUUUGUAAAAAGAGCCUGCCACAUCAAACAUCCUGGCCCGAGAAAGAUGAGAGGUACAGAAACGUGUUUGAAUUCAACCACUACCCCGGGGCCCACAGCAGCUGAGAAAGUCAACUCUGUGCCUACCUACACACAACAAAC